ACGCACGCUGGCGGCGUGCUUCACACAUGCAAGUCGCACGGAAAGGCCCUGCUUUUGUGGGGUGCUCGAGUGGCGAACGGGUGAGUAACACGUGAGUAACCUGCCCUUGACUUUGGGAUAACUUCAGGAAACUGGGGCUAAUACCGGAUAGGAGCUCCUGCCGCAUGGUGGGGGUUGGAAAGUUUCGGCGGUUGGGGAUGGACUCGCGGCUUAUCAGCUUGUUGGUGGGGUAGUGGCUUACCAAGGCUUUGACGGGUAGCCGGCCUGAGAGGGUGACCGGCCACAUUGGGACUGAGAUACGGCCCAGACUCCUACGGGAGGCAGCAGUGGGGAAUAUUGCACAAUGGGCGGAAGCCUGAUGCAGCAACGCCGCGUGCGGGAUGACGGCCUUCGGGUUGUAAACCGCUUUCGCCUGUGACGAAGCGUGAGUGACGGUAAUGGGUAAAGAAGCACCGGCUAACUACGUG
rnacentral:rRNA from 1 species